CUAAGAUGCCGCCUCCUCCUCCUAAGUUAGAAUAUCUCUCACAAACACCAUCUGUUGCACAUCGCUCAGACUUUAGAUGCCGCCUCCUCCUCCUCCUCCUAAGUCCUCUCUCCUUCUAUCCUUCACUUUCCGAUUCGAUUAAUUCGUUCUGUUCAGUUCAGGCUUCAAAGUUCAACCGUGUCGUGUUAUAAACUGCCAAUUAGGUCGCAUUCCGUCCCGGAGAUCCACCUCCGGCGGCUCUUUUUCACACAGAUUCUUCUCAUCUGAAUCGAAAGUUGGAGGAUCAGCGUAUAUAGCGUAUAUGAUAGUUGGUGAUCAUACAUACGAGCCGGAGGUGCGGGUUUACGAGCUGCAAUUGGUCUAUCUGAGCAUGGCUUUAAUACUGCUUGUAUAACUAAGCUGUUUCCAACUCGUUCUCACACUGUUGCCGCUCAGGUCGCAUCGUGUCUUUACAAGCGCUAUAUUUUCCGGCAAAUUCAAGAUUAAUGACGUACCGCGGUGCCGAUUUAUCAUCUUGGAGUUGAGCUGAAUAGAAAAUAUUGAAGGAAAAAAAAAAUAAAGGAAACUAAAAUAUAAGAAAUGAUGUUGCUAUUACU